rnacentral:lncRNA from 1 species
AUGUUUAAGUAUCACACUUUGUCAUUUGUCUUACUUACCUAGUUUCGUAUGCGUUAUUAUUUGAAUUAGGUUACAAGGCUAAUCAGUAGGCUAAACUCUGCCCGUUUAAACCUGCAAUCCGGUAUGUGGGGUUUUGUAUACAUUACUUGAUAACCGUCACCAUUGGACACCGGGUUAGCCAAGGGGUGAUAUGACCAUAGUCGCAGACACCAUUGGACAACGAGAUAGCCAAUAAAUGGUCGAGUGACAAAUACCGUUUGGUAGAUGGUUGAUAUAUAUAAACAUUGUAAUCGCUCUUAAUAUUGUAA